rnacentral:rRNA from 1 species
AGACGUCUACAUUAGACUACCCGGGUAGUCCCAGCCGUAAACUAUGCGCGUUAGGUGUAUCGGUGACCACGAGUUACCGAGGUGCCGAAGGGAACCGUGAAACGUGCCGCCUGGGAAGUACGGUCGCAAGGCUGAAACUUAAAGGAAUUGGCGGGGGAGCACCACAACAGGUGGAGCCUGCGGUUUAAUUGGACUCAACGCCGGGAAGCUCACCGGAUAGGACAGCAGAAUGAUUGCCGGGCUGAAGACCCUGCAUGACUAGCUG